rnacentral:lncRNA from 1 species
UGUACCAAAAAGAAUGAUAUAUAUAUAAUCAAGUCCACAAGGACAAAGUAAAUGGCUGAGGCACUUGACCGGACGGCCAUACUUUUUUCAAUUUCUUUUAUCUGAAUUGGAUGACAUCGUGAAAAGGUUCACAAAUGCAGCAAACACACUAAACCAGGUUGGUUUAUUUAUUUAAUUGUCUAUUUUAGAAAACCAUGCAGAGACACUCAGUAGAAAAGGGAAGCAUUGAAGCAACCAUUGCAACCUCACAAACACUCACUCCAAACGCAAGCUCUUGAUUAUUAUAGUUCUCACACCAGCAGGUAUACGAACUCAAACCCGAACUAACCACUUCAAGCAUAGGCACCAGGGUUGGCCAGGAGGUAGGCCUCUGCAGCCUUGAUAAUCCCGAUCACUGCUUCCUUUCCCUUGGCUAUCUCAUCCUUGUUGUCAACUCCUGGUAAUGGCUUAUAGGUUGUCACCACCUUGCACACGCACCCUCCCUUGCUGGAUUUCUCGAACUUGAAAUGGGUUGAGGCUGACUCGAUCUUCUUCCCAAGAUCGCCUCCUUCCACCAGGCUGUGCUUGCACUCAAACUUAUCGAAGUCCACAAAGUCGAGGCGCUCCUUUACAUAGCCAAAUGGCAUCGCUACAAAUAUUAGAGCCACAAGGUUAGCACCAACUCUAAGUACAUGAAAAUUAUAUAUAUAAGAGCUUGUUUGGAUGAUUAGGCUGAAAAAAUUCUAUUAAAUGUAUGGAUUGAGCCAGUACAACUAGCUGGUCCAGGCCCAUAUUCAUAAGUACUUAGGAAUAGCUAGAGUGGGCCGGUUAGAUUUUCAUAUUAAGAAAAAAGAUCUUAGCUAAUAUAGGCUUAGACCAGCCUGUAAUCUUAUGAUUUUGCUGGCUAUGCUGGCUCAAUCUAUAAAUCCAAAAAAAAAUUUAACCCAAUCAUCAAAACAGAACCGAAGACUAGAUAACUUCAGAGCAUGGGCCACAAUACCUGAGGUAAAGUUGAUCUGCCUGACACUCCCGACGCUACCAUCACCAUGGACACCGGCGGCGCUUACGAUGAUAUCAGGCAGGAGCUUAGCGGCCAAGUUGUGCCAGUCGAGGACCGCCUUGAACAACCUUGGAGCGGGAGCUUGGGACUCGACCUCGAGGUUCCAACACGGGAGACUCAUGGUUAAAUUGGAUUCUUUAUUGGGCUUCACUUCUUCUGCUAAGUUGUGGUGAGUGAAUUCCAGAUGGAGAAUGGCGAGCAAAGGUUGGGGGUUUUAUAGAGGGUUUGUGUGGAAUGGUAGGUAUGGAACGAAGAAGCAUGCGUGCUCGUCUAUUCAAAUUUGGGCAGCGCCGUUGCUAGAACUGCUGUCUAAUAAAAAGAGAGGAGGACAGAGUGCAGGAGAGAGAGGUAGGUAGGUUGCUUACAUGAAGGUGAGACUUCGGGGAACGUUUUUCGUCCAUUCUGACGGAUCCCAGCCAAAACAGACGUGAGCGCCAUUAUUGUUGAUAUAUGCCCUGAUUCGCAGUUUAUGAUUUCAAAUUUUUAAUAUUAAAAUAAUAUAUGAAAAACCAACCUUUACUGUUCAUCUAAUAAAAAUAUCAUUUUUCAGGUGAGACAAACUUAAUUAUUUGGAGAUUAUUUAGAUUAUAAUAAAUUGUUUUAUUGCCCAAUAAUCCAUCUGUUAUCUUUUUCUACGCUAUAUUGCCAUAAUAACAGAGUAAAGUAGGAGCCAAAAAACAUUAUAAAUUUAUAAUAACCAUUCUCUCUCUCUCUUCUUUUUUUUUUUAUAAUAACUAACAUGCGGGCCGUCAUCAUAAUAGGCACGUGGCAACCCAGGUUUGUAAUAAAGAUCAACCUGCCAGGCCUAUUUGGUAAAUAAAUUGAGUUUAAAUUUAAACUCAGUAUACUUAAUCUAUUAAAAAAUUAUUUAAUUGGCUUUGACUUGUUUAAUAAAUGGGCUAUAUAGCCAGAUCAGGCCAUCUAUUUAAUAAAUAAAUCAAAUUUAAAUAGAUAAAAUUUUAAUUUAAUCGAUAUUCGCCACCUCUUUUUUAUUGGAAUAAAAAAAAUUUAUUUAUAAAAAGAAUUUAUUUUUUUAUUUGCUAUUUUUUAGAGGUUUUGCCUAAUUUAAACAUCGAAAGGCCCUUCCCGUCGGAUCGGCUUUGGCAACCUUCGAGCGGGUUUUUUUUUAUUUUUUCCUGCUGCAAGGUGACAGGCACAAAUGGGACCCCACGUCUUUCAAAGUGUCAUAUCGGGUUUUGACGGUAACAGCUUUGAUUUAUUAUUAUUGUACGAGAAAACUUUGUCAUCGUCAAAGAAAUUUGCAAGAAGGGGACUCGAUCAGCUCUGCAGGCAGUACAUGUCACAGCAAAUCCAGCAUAUAAACUUUAACACGUGUUUGUAUCUGACAUGAAAUUUAGUGUUUUUUUUUUUUGGUACAUGAAAAUUUAGUUUGGGUACGUGGCAAGAGCUCUAGCUGGGGAUCUUGGCCUGCAAGAUGAUGCGUUUGGCGCCGCCCGCACCGCCCCCACCGCGCUAUUCCCAACUUAUUCUCCGCCAAAAACAACUUAUUCUCCAGUUGGGCAGUAAAGGUCGGGGAAGGGUAAGACCAAAGAGUCGGGCCGAAAAAUUUUCUUAAGUGCAAAAAGGUUCAAAGCUGAAGGUGGAGAUUUUGUCGGAAUGACGUGUCCAGCAGGGCCAAAACGCACGGCUCUUACGGUGGUAGCGUCACAGAAUGGAGACCUAGCCUUCUAGAAAUCUUAUCUCCCUCUUAUUUCUUACUAAGAAACGUCCUCUCUUUCAUCUGGUAAAAAAGAUGAUUUACAAGGAUCGUAUGGUCGGCAAGGAAAAGAAUUGCAUGUUUAAUGGUGGGACUCAUAUUGGGACAAGCCUCGUGGUUCUAUCUUGACUAAUAAGAAAAAUUGUCCCAUUGAUUUAUUAGCCCCACCAAUUCUUCUUUUAACAACUAAUUUUUAGACUAUGAGUACGUGACAAAUAAUAUCAGAACUAUACCUAUUGUGCGUCACAAACUUCAUUGGUCAUCAGAGCUCUUUAUUGAAAGAGACUAAAGUCGAGGAGGACUUGGGCUAUGGACAGACUUCCAUCUCUAGAGUAGGAGACAUCUAUGAUGAGGAUAUCACAAGAUUAAAUGGAGGAGAUUGUCAUACAUGUGGCGGCCCCGAGUGGACAAAGAUGCUCCUAUAUGCGGUGGAAGAUUUGCAGGUACAUGCCUACUGUCUUGGUGAAUAAUAGAUGGCUGAUCAGCGAUGGGCAGAACGUGAAUGUGGUAGAGGAUUUGUGGGUGGACUCUCUUCCUUUGAGACUCUGGACGACCAUGGUCAACGUCGAGACAGUGGACAGGGUCCGUGAUCUUCUUAGUCCAGAGGGGGCGGAGUGGGAUGUCUGCAGGAUCGAUCAGUUAUUUGGAGAGCACUCUGUAGAGCGUGCUCGAUCGCUCCCGAUUCCCAGGUGUGCUGAUGGAAGGGUUUGGAGCACGUCCUACAGAGCUAAUGUCAGUGUGGGAGAUGUUUUUCGCACCCUCCAGCGGGAGCACAAACUUUGGAUGGUUGUGCUUGGAUCUGGAGCUUUAGACUCUAUCUAAGAGUAGCAUUAUUUCUGUGAAAGAUGGCCUCGAGCAUCCGCCGACAAGAUUGGUGCUGAGCAGAAGGGGGCUGGGCUUUCAUCCCCAGUGUCCGGAUUGCCGAGUGAAUGAGACGGUGGUGGACGAUGCGCUAGAUCAUGUUCUAUUCCAGUGUGUGUAGGCUAAGGGGUUUGGGUUUGUCAUUAGGAGCCCGAACUCUAGAAUAGUGACUGCUGGUGGCUAUCGGAUCUUCAAUAUCUCAGUUUCUAGAGCAAAGCUGUGGGCGGCUUGGGCCGGUCUGAGUCAUGCUCGCGCGUGCUACAGACCAGCUCGGUAUAUUAGAGUGUGACUCGACCACUGUAAUCAGCUGGAUCUAGGGUGGCCUGAGUCGCGGUAGAGGAGGACACCAUCUGCUUCGAGAUAUUUGGACUAUGGUGAGUAACGUUGUGGCCUUUUCAGCUGGGCAUAUGUUUAGAGAGGCUAAUGGGGCCGCGGACUGGGUGGCUUCUUAUGUGGCCUAUCACUCUAGGGGUACUCUGUAGGCUGGGGAGGAGGAGCUGCUGAGAGCACUCUAAGACUUGUUAUUUUUUAUUUUAUUGGGUGUAUCCGUACUCGUACGGUACGAAAUGCCGCUUUAGGUGGAAAAAAAAAAAAGGAGAAAAAUACAACCUUGUCCCUCGUCCUUUUGUGUGGGUCGAGGUGCUUAUCCUUGUGGUCAAAUGUAAACUUAGCGGGAAAACGAUUUGGAUGCGAGUGAAUGCCUUUUUAGAUACCAAGUUUGUUAUCUUCAGAUGGUAUGUUAUAUAAGAAAGUGCUAGUGGUGACGUUAGCAAGAGUAUUAUAAGCCACCAGCGUAGGCUAGUGGGGAUCUUAAUGGCCCUGGUUACUUCAAAUUUAAUUAACGGUUGUUUGUGAUUUGCAUUUUAAUUGCAUAAUUAUUUCUGUUUAUGCUAGUCGAACCAAACACAAGGAUCAUCCGUGGUACUCACAUGCCUCGCAAAGGAAAUUAGGCUGCGGAUUGACUUGCAAUUUUUAUUGUUCCAUCGGCUUUAGCAAAAAGCCAGUAUGAAAACAUAUGGGCCGGGUCAGGGUUAGAUUGGGUCAACCAAGCCCAAAUUAGUCUGGUAUGUGAAGCACGAAGUGCGCUGCAUUUAGAGCCUUCCCAGUUUGAUUAGGUUGAUUAAGACAAAUAAAGUAGUUUUGGAUGUGUUUAUUUGUAUUUAGACAGCCAAACUAAUCAACCUAUUUAGGUUGGUUACAAGUCCAAUUAGUUAGCCGUCUUUAUAGUCCAUACCACGUUCACUGUGCCAAAAAGAAUGAUAUAUAUGUAAUAUAUAAAAUCAUGUCCAUAAGGAGAAAGUAAAAGGCUGAGGCACUUGACCGAACGGCCAUACUUUUUUCAAUUUCUUUUCUGAGUUGGAUGACAUUGUGAAAAGGUUCACAAAUGCAGCAAACACACUAAACCAGGUUGGUUUAUUUAUUUAAUUGUCUAUUUUAGAAAACCAUGCAGAGACACUCAGUAGAAAAGGGAAGCAUGGAANNNNNNNNNNNNNNNNNNNNNNNNNNNNNNNNNNNNNNNNNNNNNNNNNNNNNNNNNNNNNNNNNNNNNNNNNNNNNNNNNNNNNNNNNNNNNNNNNNNNNNNNN